rnacentral:rRNA from 1 species
CCUACGGGAGGCUGCAGUGAGGAAUAUUGGUCAAUGGGCGCGAGCCUGAACCAGCCAAGUAGCGUGAAGGAUGACUGCCCUACGGGGUGUAAACUUCUGUUAUAAAGGAAUAAAGUGAGGCACGUGUGCCUUGUUGUAUGUACUUUAUGAAUAAGGAUCGGCUAACUCCGUGCCAGCAGCCGCGGUAAUACCGAGGAGGCGAGCGUUAUCCGGAUUUAUUGGGUUUAAAGGGUGCGCAGGCGGAAGAUCAAGUCAGCGGUAAAAUUGAGAGGCUCAACCUCUUCGAGCCGUUGAAACUGGUUUUCUUGAGUGAGUGAGAAGUAUGCGGAAUGCGUGGUGUAGCGGUUACAUGCAUACAUAUCACGCAGAACUCCGAUUGCGAAGGCAGCAUACCGGCGCUCACCUGACGCUCAUGCACGACAGUGUGGGUAUCGAACAGGAUUAGAUACCCCAGUAGUC